GUAAAAGUCGUAACAAGGUUUCACUCCUGAACAACGAGUCCUUCGUAGUACUAUGGAAGCCUUUGCAACCCCACGGGGGUCCCCGACUAUAACUGGGACAGCAAGUCGCCUCGGCGGCAACAUGAUCGAAUUGCGGGGACGUCCUAAAGCUCUCACCACUCCCCCCCAUCAGAAACGAUGGGGGCUCGUCACAGCGUGAGAGAUGUACAAUGGGCGAUCCGCAGCGAAGCCCCGUCAGCCUACCCUGUAGGGCCGGGGACCGUUCACAGACUAGGUGGUCAUGGGCACCGCGGUGCUUAAGAUAUAGUCGGCCAGCUGGGGAAACCUGACUGCUAGCGCGUUCCGUAGGUGAACCUGCGGAAGGAUCAUUA
rnacentral:ncRNA from 1 species